rnacentral:rRNA from 1 species
UCGGGAAUAUUGCGCAAUGGAGGAAACUCUGACGCAGUGACGCCGCGUAUAGGAAGAAGGUUUUCGGAUUGUAAACUAUUGUCGUUAGGGAAGAAAAAAUGACAGUACCUAAGGAGGAAGCUCCGGCUAACUACGUGCCAGCAGCCGCGGUAAUACGUAGGGAGCGAGCGUUAUCCGGAUUUAUUGGGUGUAAAGGGUGCGUAGACGGGUAUGCAAGUUGGUUGUGAAAUCCCUCGGCUUAACUGAGGAACUGCAACCAAAACUGUAUAUCUUGAGUACAGGAGAGGUAAGUGGAAUUCCUAGUGUAGCGGUGAAAUGCGUAGAUAUUAGGAGGAACACCAGUGGCGAAGGCGACUUUCUGGACUGUAACUGACGUUGAGGCACGAAAGUGUGGGGAGCAAACAGGAUUAGAUACC